CUGGAGCGAGGUUUGCUUCGAGAGGAGCUGCUGUCACCAUGCUGAGACUGAGAAGCGGGCAACCCAGGCUUAUCCGCGAGGGUACAGAUGGCCGCGUCUAGCUGUGCAUACAACAGAACAGUGUGGCUCAGUGUGUGGUCCCCAGACCAGCAGCAGCAGCACCUGGGAACUCACUGGAAAUGCUGGAUCUCGGAUCACACCCCAGACCUGCUGCAUCAGACACUUGGGGACGGGAGGAGCAGCAACUUGGAUUGUCAGAAACCCUCCAGGGGAUUUCAUGCACCCUGAAGUUUGAGAAUCACGAUCUUAGAGGAAAAAUGUGUUUAUUAGGAAACUCUGAGUACAUUUGCUGGAGGUAAAUCCUGUCUUCAUCUUGGGGACAAGAGGAGAAGAUAUACAUUUAUAUUUGUGGACAAGAUUCUUGAACUUCAUCUUCAGACUUCCUGCUUCGAGGCAUCUGGAUUUGGAAGCUGAGAUUUUGCAUUUCUAACUAUUUCCCAGGCAAUCUCUUCCCGGCUGGGCGGGAAACCACAUUUUGAGAGCCCCUGGCCUGGACUGCUUUAGUAGUGCCCCCUUCCCGGCCUCCCACAUUUCCUGUAUUGACAUUAUCAUAACAGUUACUUCUUCAGUCGACCAUCCUUCAUGGAGGGCGCUCGCUGUGGCCCCAUGUCCGUUCUAGACACGCAGUAGGAGUCAAUGCUCUGUAGCUGUUUGCAGCAAGGGCUUUAAGUAUGAAAGUUGUGCUGUGAAUCCCAGCCUAGGCUUUCUAGCUUUUUCAGUAAGGCAGACCAUCUUAUUCUCUGAGACUCAUUUUUUUCUGACCUGUGAAAUGGGAACGAUAUUAUUACAUGCCUCCCAGGUUUGUUGUAAGGAUUGUGUAAAGUAAGGCACGUGGGACCUCAGAAGAGUGCCUCACAGAGAAUAAUCCCACUGGGCCAUCCCACUGGGCCAUGAUGGCUUGUAUUGUUAUUAAUAGCACAAGAUGCUUCUUUAAAACAUCUUGCAUAUUGUGGUUGCCUGCAUAUGUACUUAUUUUCCCAAACUUGGAGCUCCAUGGUCACAUCGGUAUACUGACCACCGAGCAAUCCCGCAGCACAUAGAGGAGCUCUGUAAAAAGGUAUGGAGUGAACAAUGGGAGAUUUAUGGUCUGGACACCCCCCGUAAGCUUUGAGUCUCUCUCUCUGAGUCAGCUUCUCAGGGACCCCACACAUAGACUGUCCUCCAUGGUCUGAUCUCCAGGUUUUCUCUGAUAAAGAGAUUGAACUGAUACUCGGGUUCGAGCUAGCCAAACUCUCAUCACUGGGUUGUCCCUCUUGCUACCCUCGCACAAUUGUCUUGUCUAAGUUUUUCUCAUGCUAGUCCUUCUAUCUAGAAUGCGGUUCUUUCUGUUCUUUUCAGAUCUAAAUUCCAUCCGGCAGAGGCCUCUCCCUUCUUCUGCACCAGACUUGGGCUGUUGUCAUCCUAUUCCUGCCGAGGGCCUUGGGAUGGUUUCAUCAAUGAUGAUAGAGCUCUUCUCUUGAACUUUUGUGUUUUUCUUGUCUUAUAACUAAAUUAUAAGAAACCCACACUUGACAGAAUAAUUUAAAAUGACUUAGGAGGCCCCAUGCAGUGUCUCACAUUUGGAGGAAGUUAGGGUUUCAUUCAUGUGGGUUUGGAUGACAAGGACAACAGGUUGCUGGAUGGUUAUUCAGAUCUGCAUGAAUUACAUGGUCUUCCUCAAUGGCAAUUUAUUUAGGUGGACAGGAAAGUAAAAAAGGGUUUGGUUUGGUUUUUUAAAUCAAGCUCCCUUGCAAGAUCACUUACCCAUUAGGUUGUAAAUUAUCUUAUGUAUCUUUUCAUGGAUGGGAUUCAACAAUGUUAUUUUUAAAAGUACUUACGAGCAUCUACUUUGUUGCAGGUAGUGAACCAGGCAGUGGGAUACGUGGGGUGAAUGAGAGCAAGAUGGCCGCUAUUGGCCUCUGGUCUGGAGGUGUAACUCUAACAGGUUAGGAUGGGUUAUGUUAUGUUGUAGUAAUAGACAAACCCUAGAAACUCAGUUCCAUAACACAAGAAAGGUUUAUUUCUCACUCAACGGAGUCUUAUAUCAGGUUGGACAAUUUCCAGGCCAGCUGCUGUCCAUGAAGUGACUCACUGGUCCAGGUUCCUUCCAUCUGAUGAACAUAGGAUCGAAGUAGUCAAAAGACCCCACCCACAUAAAGCAGAUUAGAAACUACCAUCCUCCCAUGAGUUCAGGAAAAGGAGGAGAGACCUAGUGCUCACGUAGUGUGAAUGCUUGGUGUCUAUCACUUCUACUCUGCUGUUUAAUUUUCCUGAUGCCUUUUAAAGCUUGCUUUUUUUUUUUUUUUUUCAAAAUAAAGUAUAAGGUCUAGUGAUAGAGCUAUGCAUUUAUUUUCUUUGAUCAAAAAAAGGAAAUAUGAUGUACCUAUACAGUGGACUAUUACUCAGCUAUCAAAAAGAAUGGAAUCUUGCCAUUUGCAAUGACAUCCAUGCAAUAGUUCCAUCUGAACUAUUUUGCUAAGGGAACUAUGUCAGCCAGAAACAAAUACCAUAUGAUUUCACUCAUACGUGGGACUUAAGAAACAAAAUACAUGAACAC